CACCUGCCGUCUUCUCCACCGCCGCCGCCGCCAGCAGAGGGAACACCUUGCUCUGCCUCGCUGCUGCUCACGGCCCCUCGGCAGCCUCAGAGCACGGCCAUGGGAGGGACACUUUAUCAGCACGCUAAAAUCUGCUUAUGUUUUUACCACGCCCUCCACUGCUCCACACAGUCCACUGAUCUUGGACUAACCACUUUGCCACCCCCGAUGCCCCUCCCUCCCACAGGGCUACUGGCUCACCUCUUCUCUAGCCACGGAAAGACGAUGACUGUCGAGUUUGCUGUCAGUGGACUCUCACGAAAUCUGUACCUACCUGCAUGUCUGAUUUUUUAUCACCCAUACAGUGUUGCCUACUACAUGCCUCAUCCGUCAGUAUAACUGAAUUUCAUCCACACCACAUCAUAGCCCCUCAAAAAGUCACCCAAUGUCCAUACACACACACACAAAAAAAAAAAAAAAAAAAAAAAAACUUUUCCAGAAGUGGUUGUCAAAAGUGAACAUCCAAUCUCUAUAUACAUUUUAUUUACAAACACUACAAACUAAUGUUAGUGAGUAUAAAUCUCCUCUUUCUUAGAUUAUCUGGAUAAAAAGUUAAUAGAUUUUAGAAAUACCAUACAAAAGAAGAGUAACGAAGGUGGAUAAUGCUAGGAGGAAAGUCUGAAGGAAUCUGACAUACGCAUCACAGUUACCCUGAAAUCAGUUACCUUGAAAUAAUGGUGAAACAACUAGGUGGUGGCCCCAACUGUCCAUGGAAUGUUUGAUAAAGUGACUAAACAGUAUGCAAGGAGAAAUUAUAUAAUUCCAUAAAUAUUUCCCAAUGAUGAAUGUGUUUGUCAUGAAUAAAUAGAUGCAAUGUGUCAAAACAAAUGUUACUAGAUGAAAUAACAUGAUAACUGUCUUUUCCUGUAGAGCAACCAUCCAACAAAAUGACAAAAGGAAGCAUCAUCAAAAUGACGGUUUGGUAUCAGAUGUACAGACAGAACAGGCAAGAACAACACAACUCCCCUUGUGCCUUGGUGAACAUUUUGCCCUCAAUCAUAUUCCUGGAAAUGCAGAGUUUCAUCAGGAGUUGAAAGUCCUGGUCACCCGUAAGCACAUUUCUUGUUCUUCAAAACAAUUCAGAUAUAGUUCUCAUUUUCAAAUAACUUUCUAUCUAUAUCUGAGCAAUUCCAAACUCUAUGAUACAGUAGUCCCAAGGUGUUAUGCAGUGUUUUCAUGGGUGUGGGCAGCAAUACAAACCCUGGAUCAACAAAGGCUGCAUGACUCUUCUCGUUGACAAGAUGAUCACUAAAGUAUAGGGAGAAUCGCAUUGGGAUUGUCUCUUGCAUCAUUACAACUGCAACUGGAAUGACAGUGGAUCUUAAUUAAGGCUAGAAACAAUAACUCAUGUCCACAAUAAGAGCAUGCUGGUCAUUUACAUAAUAAUUACAUUAAAGUCUUCUACCAGGUGAAAAACUUUGAUAGUGCCAAAAGUUUGUUUCUAGUUUUGUGACCAGCAUUUGUACUUUAACAUUUGUUUGUGACUUGUUGUGCCUCCCAGAGAUAUGUCUGUGCCACCAAACUGCCAAAAUGCAUUUUCCUUUAUAAGUCUCAGACAGUGCCAGCUUGAAACAUCUAAAUAUAUAUAUUACUAGAAUUGUGGCAAUAAAUGCUAAAUAUCUUUGAUGGUGCAGAGUGCUGUAAAGUUUAUCAAACUCAGACUGUGAGGAUAAAAGAGGAGGAGGCUGAAUCAUCUUACACACACACACACACACACACACACACACACACACACACACACACACACACACUCUCACACACACAAAAAC